UUUCAGUCCUAUUGGGGGAUCAUAUAUCGCUGAGUGAUAAUAUACUCCAGUUAAAGCUUGUGGUAAAUAUGACAUAAUUGAAACUUCCUCCACAGUGACCUGAAGAGGAUGUGUUCUUUUGAUGAAUGGGGUCAAACUUGAUGAUGUUGAGCCUCCAACUAAUCUCUUCUCUGAAAGCAACAGUUGUUGUUGGGUAGCAAAAGUAGGCCUACACCCAUUGUCUCUACAUGCUACCUGUCUCCAAAUUUCAUAAAACGUUUGAUUUUUACGGCAGCGGCAACAUCAAACAUCAGCUUUCACCUCUGCAGCCGUUCUUCAAGUCUUCUCUCCUCUGAAAAGACAAUCAGCCUCCCCCUACAUGGCCGCUCGAUAAAAAGUCUGUCUUAAACUUUUUCAAGUUGAAGCUGUACAUCCCCUCCACCCUCUGACAUCCACCAUCAGCAGAAAUCAGGCAGCAGAUCCACCUACAAAGUUACGUUUGGGGAUUGAUGGAUUUUCCAAGAAGGUCCUUUUGGUAUAGGUGGCCACUUCCAACUGAAGCAAGGAUUUGAGGCAAGAUAGUUUUAUGAAGCUGUCCAACAACAAGGUGGUAUGGGCUGGACUGAAUGGGAUCAGUUAAACAUGUGUUGUGAAAAAGUUAACGUUUUGCCAGUAAUUGUGCCUCUGUAAUCAUUCACUAAGAAUUGUCCGUUUAAGUCUUUAGGCCGUCCUCAGAUGAGGGGAGGAGCCAGAGCAUGGGAGAACCUUGGUGCUGAAUGUUUCGACAGCAUUUAAAAGCCAACAUGGAGAAAGAAAUGGACGUCAACGUUUGAGGUAAAAACCUCGUGCUUCGGCCAUGAUGGAGUGUGGAACUGGACCGCCCUGGACACACGGAGGUGAAUGAUGCUGAAAAGUUUGGGCUCUGGGAAAGCCUUAGAUUCCUGGCUUAACGUUCAUAUUAAGAGUCGUUCCUUCCUCCUUCCUCCCAGGGUGCACCUCUGCAGACUGACGCGUUCUUCCUAUUCGCCCUCCUGGAGCUUUGUGCGUGGAGAUCUGCGUCUGUUGUCCAGUCUCUUACCUGAACCUUUACGCUGCUCCUCCACCCUUCCACCAGUCCUCCUGCAGAUCUCUGUCACCAGCCAGACUCAGAGCCGCGGUGCAUUUGCCUCCUCCCAGACGUCCCCACACCCUGCUGACCUGCAGCCCUGGAAAUCAGCCCGGAUUCUGAUCAACCGUCAUUUUGUUCUAUUUUAAAUAAACCUG